ACCCGCUGAACUUAAGCAUAUCAAUAAGCGGAGGAAAAGAAACCAACAGGGAUUGCUCUAGUAACGGCGAGUGAAGCAGCAAUAGCUCAAAUUUGAAAUCUGGCGUCUUCGACGUCCGAGUUGUAAUUUGUAGAGGAUGCUUCUGAGUGGCCACCGACCUAAGUUCCUUGGAACAGGACGUCAUAGAGGGUGAGAAUCCCGUAUGCGGUCGGAAAGGCGCUCUAUACGUAGCUCCUUCGACGAGUCGAGUUGUUUGGGAAUGCAGCUCUAAAUGGGAGGUAAAUUUCUUCUAAAGCUAAAUAUUGGCCAGAGACCGAUAGCGCACAAGUAGAGUGAUCGAAAGAUGAAAAGCACUUUGGAAAGAGAGUUAAAAAGCACGUGAAAUUGUUAAAAGGGAAGGGAUUGCAACCAGACUUGCUCGCGGUGUUCCGCCGGUCUUCUGACCGGUCUACUCGCCGCGUUGCAGGCCAGCAUCGUCUGGUGCCGCUGGAUAAGACUUGAGGAAUGUAGCUCCCUCGGGAGUGUUAUAGCCUCUUGUGAUGCAGCGAGCGCCGGGCGAGGUCCGCGCUUCGGCUAGGAUGCUGGCGUAAUGGUCGUAAUCCGCCCGUCUUGAAACACGGACCAAGGAGUCUAACAUCUAUGCGAGUGUUCGGGUGUCAAACCCCUACGCGUAAUGAAAGUGAACGGAGGUGAGAACCGCAAGGUGCAUCAUCGACCGACCCUGAUGUCUUCGGAUGGAUUUGAGUAAGAGCAUAGCUGUUGGGACCCGAAAGAUGGUGAACUAUGCCUGAAUAGGGUGAAGCCAGAGGAAACUCUGGUGGAGGCUCGCAGCGGUUCUGACGUGCAAAUCGAUCGUCAAAUUUGGGUAUAGGGGCGAAAGACUAAUCGAACCAUCUAGUAGCUGGUUCCUGCCGAAGUUUCCCU
rnacentral:rRNA from 1 species